UUGAUUCUGGCUCAGGAUGAACGCUAGCGACAGGCUUAACACAUGCAAGUCGAGGGGCAGCACAGGUAGCAAUACCGGGUGGCGACCGGCGCACGGGUGAGUAACGCGUAUGCAACUUACCUAUCAGAGGGGGAUAACCCGGCGAAAGUCGGACUAAUACCGCAUGAAGCAGGGGCCCCGCAUGGGGAUUUUGCUAAAGAUUCAUCGCUGAUAGAUAGGCAUGCGUUCCAUUAGGCAGUUGGCGGGGUAACGGCCCACCAAACCGACGAUGGAUAGGGGUUCUGAGAGGAAGGUCCCCCACAUUGGUACUGAGACACGGACCAAACUCCUACGGGAGGCAGCAGUGAGGAAUAUUGGUCAAUGGGCGUAAGCCUGAACCAGCCAAGUCGCGUGAGGGAUGAAGGUUCUAUGGAUCGUAAACCUCUUUUAUAAGGGAAUAAAGUGCGGGACGUGUCCCGUUUUGUAUGUACCUUAUGAAUAAGGAUCGGCUAACUCCGUGCCAGCAGCCGCGGUAAUACGGAGGAUCCGAGCGUUAUCCGGAUUUAUUGGGUUUAAAGGGUGCGUAGGCGGCCUUUUAAGUCAGCGGUGAAAGUCUGUGGCUCAACCAUAGAAUUGCCGUUGAAACUGGGGGGCUUGAGUAUGUUUGAGGCAGGCGGAAUGCGUGGUGUAGCGGUGAAAUGCUUAGAUAUCACGCAGAACCCCGAUUGCGAAGGCAGCCUGCCAAGCCAUGACUGACGCUGAUGCACGAAAGCGUGGGGAUCAAACAGGAUUAGAUACCCUGGUAGUCCACGCAGUAAACGAUGAUCACUAGCUGUUUGCGAUACAGUGUAAGCGGCACAGCGAAAGCGUUAAGUGAUCCACCUGGGGAGUACGCCGGCAACGGUGAAACUCAAAGGAAUUGACGGGGGCCCGCACAAGCGGAGGAACAUGUGGUUUAAUUCGAUGAUACGCGAGGAACCUUACCCGGGUUUGAACGCAUUCGGACCGAGGUGGAAACACCUUUUCUAGCAAUAGCCGUUUGCGAGGUGCUGCAUGGUUGUCGUCAGCUCGUGCCGUGAGGUGUCGGCUUAAGUGCCAUAACGAGCGCAACCCUUGCCACUAGUUACUAACAGGUGAUGCUGAGGACUCUGGUGGGACUGCCAGCGUAAGCUGCGAGGAAGGCGGGGAUGACGUCAAAUCAGCACGGCCCUUACAUCCGGGGCGACACACGUGUUACAAUGGCGUGGACAAAGGGAAGCCACCUGGCGACAGGGAGCGAAUCCCCAAACCACGUCUCAGUUCGGAUCGGAGUCUGCAACCCGACUCCGUGAAGCUGGAUUCGCUAGUAAUCGCGCAUCAGCCAUGGCGCGGUGAAUACGUUCCCGGGCCUUGUACACACCGCCCGUCAAGCCAUGGGAGCCGGGGGUACCUGAAGUCCGUAACCGAAAGGAUCGGCCUAGGGUAAAACUGGUGACUGGGGCUAAGUCGUAACAAGGU
rnacentral:rRNA from 1 species